UGGGGAAUUUUGGACAAUGGGCGAAAGCCUGAUCCAGCAAUGCCGCGUGUGUGAAGAAGGCCUUCGGGUUGUAAAGCACUUUUGUCCGGAAAGAAAUCCUCUGGGUUAAUACCUCGGGGGGAUGACGGUACCGGAAGAAUAAGCACCGGCUAACUACGUGCCAGCAGCCGCGGUAAUACGUAGGGUGCAAGCGUUAGUCGGAAUUACUGGGCGUAAAGCGUGCGCAGGCGGUUUUGUAAGACGGAUGUGAAAUCCCCGGGCUUAACCUGGGAACUGCAUUCGUGACUGCAAGGCUAGAGUAUGGCAGAGGGGGGUAGAAUUCCACGUGUAGCAGUGAAAUGCGUAGAGAUGUGGAGGAAUACCGAUGGCGAAGGCAGCCCCCUGGGCCAAUACUGACGCUCAUGCACGAAAGCGUGGGGAGCAAACAGGAUUGGAUACCCUGGUAGUCCACGCCCUAAACGAUGUCAACUAGUUGUUGGGGAUUCAUUUCCUUAGUAACGUAGCUAACGCGUGAAGUUGACCGCCUGGGGGAGUACGGUCGCAAGAUUAAAACUCAAAGGAAUUGACGGGGUCAUAGCUGUUUCCUG
rnacentral:rRNA from 1 species